AUUUCAUCACCUAUUUUGCUCCUGAUUUUAUGAAACCUGGGCAUGAUCAGUAUGUUCAUCGACAUGCCAAUGGAUUGUGCAUAAUUGGGUUGGCUCCGACCCACAUUGCUUUUAAGGAUGAAGGCGGAGUUACUUCGGUUGAUUUCAAUGUGGGGAAGUCUGAUCGGAGUGGAAUCAAGGUCUCUGGAAAGCGAAAAAAGAACGCUCAACAUUUUGAGUCUAAUACAGCAUUAUGUAAAGCCUGCACAAAGGAUGGUUCUUAUAUUGUGAGGUGUUGUGUGAAAGGCUCGUUAUUAGAAGUCAAUGAUAGGUUAAUUAAGCAACCAGAAUUGCUGAACUCAUCGGCAGGCAGAGAAGGAUAUAUUGCAAUUAUAAUGCCAAGGCCCGCAGAUUGGAUCAAGGCCAAGACAUCUUUGCUGGGCAUUGAAGAAUAUAGAGAGUUGAGAAAGGAUACAUUGCAAUUAUAAACAAGCAAGGUGGCAAAUCAGCUCAUUGAAGGCAGCAUUUUGCAGGAUUGGAGUUUACGUUGUUGGAAAAUUUUGCAGGAUGUUCUCUCUCUGUAACAGUAAGCUCUACUACUUCACUACACACUUCUGCUAUUGGUAUACAGAAGAACAGUAUCAAACUUAAUUGAUGUUCUUGUUGUACUUUUCUGGUAUAUUAUUUGGAUGGGGUGGAGUUUACUUGUCCACACUGCUCCAUCACUCCAUAUUUUGUUUUUCAGAGCAAUAUGAUAAAAAAACGUUUAGUCCAUAGUUACUAUAUGAAAAUGUAACAUGUCUAUUAUAUUGCUAAUUUGCUAGAACAUGAAA
rnacentral:misc_RNA from 1 species